rnacentral:sRNA from 1 species
GGGACCUGCCUUUCAGGCAUCCUCUCCUAAAACUUUCCAGGCUGAUCUUCGGAUCAGCCUUUUUUUUGCCCUUCU